UUUUUUAUAAAAGUAAUUUAUUUAUUUUAAGUUUUAGUAUUUAGUAAAAAUUAAUUUUUAGAUUUAUAGUUUAAUAGUAUUGUAAAAGAAUUAUUUAAAUUUGAAAAAGAAUAUUUUUAGUACCUUUUGUAUCAGGGUUAAUUAAAAUUUUUAAUUUUUUUUUAAAUUCUCAAAAUUUAUAGAGUUAAUUUUAUUAUUAAUUUAUUGUGUUAUAAAUAUUUAUAAAAUAAUAUUGGUUUUGAAAUUUAAUUCGUUAUAUUAUAUUUAGUUAUUUAAGAUUUAAAUUUAAUUUAAAAUUUUAAAAGUUAUUUUGAUUUUAUAUAUUAAUAUUUUAAAUUUAAAUUAUUUUAGGGAUAAGCUUGAAAUUUUUAUAUAAUAAUUUAUUUAUUUUAAUAAUUUAUAGGAAUAGAAAUUUUUAUUUUAAGUUUGUAAAAAUUUAUUAUUUGUUUAGUUUUAAUUUAUUAUAAUUUUAUUUAUUUUUUUUAUUAAAUUUUAUUAAUUAAUAUUUAAUUUUUAGUAAUAAUGAUUAAAUUAGUAUAAUGUAUAUUUAUAAAUUAUGAAUUCGGCAAAAAUUAUUUUCAUCUGUUUAACAAAAACAUUGUAUUAAGUUUAAUUUAAUAUAGGAUCUGCUCAAUGAUUUAUUAAAUAGCUGCAGUAUUUUGACUGUGCAAAGGUAGCAUAAUAAUUAGUCUUUUAAUUGAGGACUUGUAUGAAAGAUUUGAUGAGAAAUAAACUUUAUUAUUUAUAUAAUUAAAAUUUUAUUUUUAAGUAAAAAAGCUUAAAUUAUUUAAAGGGACGAUAAGACCCUAUAAAACUUUAUAAAUAGUAAUUUUAAUUUUUUUGGAUUAAUAAAUAUUCUAAUUUUAUUAUUUAUUUUAUUGGGGUGAUAAAAAAAAUUAUUAAACUUUUUUUAAAAUUUUACAUUAUUUAGUGAAUAGUUGAAUUAAAAUUUUUAAUUAAAGGAAAAAGUUACUUUAGGGAUAACAGCGUAAUUAAUUUUUUAAGUUCAAAUUUAAAAAUUAGUUUGCGACCUCGAUGUUGAAUUAAGAUUAAUCUUAGGUGCAAAAUUUUAAGUAUUAGGUCUGUUCGACCUUUAAAUUCUUACAUGAUUUGA
rnacentral:rRNA from 1 species